UACGUAGGAUGCGAGCGUUGUCCGGAAUUAUUGGGCGUAAAGAGAACGUAGGCGGUUUGCCAAGUUUGAUCUUAAAGACCGGGGCUUAACUCCGGGAGUGGAUCGAAAACUGGCAGACUAGAGGACGUCAGAGGAAAGUGGAAUUCCCAGUGUAGCGGUGAAAUGCGUAGAUAUUGGGGAGGAACACCAGUGGCGAAAGCGACUUUCUGGGACGUUCCUGACGCUGAGGUUCGAAAGCUCGGGGAGCAAACAGG
rnacentral:rRNA from 1 species